rnacentral:rRNA from 1 species
GGAAUUGACGGGGCCCGCACAGGCGGUGGAGCAUGUGGUUUAAUUCGACGCAACGCGAAGAACCUUACCUGGGCUUGACACCCCGAUCGCACCUUAUGGAAACAUAGGGGUCAGUUCGGCUGGAUCGGUGACAGGUGCUGCAUGGCUGUCGUCAGCUCGUGUCGUGAGAUGUUGGGUUAAGUCCCGCAACGAGCGCAACCCUUGUCCUUAGUUGCCAGCAUUCAGUUGGGCACUCUAAGGAGACUGCCGGUGUCAAACCGGAGGAAGGUGGGGAUGACGUCAAGUCCUCAUGGCCCUUAUGUCCAGGGCUACACACGUGCUACAAUGGCCGGUACAAAGGGGCGCAAGACCGCGAGGUGGAGCAAAUCCCAAAAAACCGGUCUCAGUUCGGAUUGGAGUCUGCAACUCGACUCCAUGAAGUUGGAAUCGCUAGUAAUCGCGUAUCAGCAUGACGCGGUGAAUACGUUCCCGGGCCUU